rnacentral:lncRNA from 1 species
AUUUUGUGUGAGAGCUCAAGUUGUAGUGAAAGGUUGUUUGGGUUGAUCCUGUAAAAAGCUCAAGACUAUUUUAGUAGAAAUAUCAAGGGAAAACACUCGGGGACAAGAGUAGGUCAAGUGGUUUAGGCCAAACUAAGAUAAUUCUCUUAUUAGAUAUUUAUAUCCAUUAUCUAUUUUUUUUAUUUUUUUUAUUUUUUUAUUUGUGCUGCUUAUUUCUCUUCCUCUUCUCUUUUUUAUUAGUCCCCUGCUUUAUCUCAGUUU